rnacentral:rRNA from 1 species
CAUUAAAGCGGCACGCGAGCUGGGUUCAGAACGACGUGAGACAGUUCGGUCCCUAUCCGUCGCGGGCGCAGGAAAAAUGAGAGGAGCAGUCCUUAGUACGAGAGGACCGGGAUGGACACACCGCUGGAGUACCAGUUGUUCCGCCAGGAGCAACGCUGGGUAGCUAAGUGUGGCAGGGAUAAACGCUGAAAGCAUCUAAGCGUGAAGCCCCCCUCAAGAUGAGAAUUCCCAUUUCUU